AGUGAACGCUGGCGGUAGGCCUAACACAUGCAAGUCGAACGGCAGCACAGGAGAGCUUGCUCUCUGGGUGGCGAGUGGCGGACGGGUGAGGAAUACAUCGGAAUCUACUUUUUCGUGGGGGAUAACGUAGGGAAACUUACGCUAAUACCGCAUACGACCUACGGGUGAAAGCAGGGGACCUUCGGGCCUUGCGCGAUUGAAUGAGCCGAUGUCGGAUUAGCUAGUUGGCGGGGUAAAGGCCCACCAAGGCGGCGAUCCGUAGCUGGUCUGAGAGGAUGACCAGCCACACUGGAACUGAGACACGGUCCAGACUCCUACGGGAGGCAGCAGUGGGGAAUAUUGGACAAUGGGCGCAAGCCUGAUCCAGCCAUACCGCGUGGGUGAAGAAGGCCUUCGGGUUGUAAAGCCCUUUUGUUGGGAAAGAAAUCCAGCUGGCUAAUACCCGGUUGGGAUGACGGUACCCAAAGAAUAAGCACCGGCUAACUUCGUGCCAGCAGCCGCAGUAA
rnacentral:rRNA from 1 species